rnacentral:ncRNA from 2 species
GGACUGCCGGAGAAGGCGCCUGAGAGAUAGCGACUAUAUCCACGGGUAGCAGCAGGCGCGAAACUUUCCCACUCGAGACUUUCGGAGGAGGUAAUGACCAGUUCCAUUGGUGCCUUUCGGUACUGUGGAUAGGGGUACGGUUUUCCACCGUACCGAAACCUAGCAGAGGGCCAGUCUGGUGCCAGCAGCUGCGGUAAUUCCAGCUCUGCGAGUUUGCUCAUAUUGUUGCAGUUAAAACGCCCGUAGUCUGAAUUGGCCAGCAAUGGUCGUACGUAUUUUUACGUUCACUGUGAACAAAUCAGGACGCUUAGAGUAUGGCCACAUGAAUGACUCAGCGCAGUAUGAAGUCUUUGUUUUCUUCCGAAAACAAGCUCAAUGAGAGCCAUCGGGGGUAGAUCUAUCUCAUGACGAGUGGUGGAAUACUUUGACUCAUGAGAGAGAAGCUGAGGCGAAGGCGUCUACCUAGAGGGUUUCUGUCGAUCAAGGGCGAGAGUAGGAGUAUCCAACAGGAUUAGAGACCCUGGUAGUUCCUACCUUAAACGAUGCCGACAGGAGUUUGUCAUUUGUUAAUGGCAGAAUCUUUGGAGAAAUCAUAGUUCUUGGGCUCUGGGGGAACUACGACCGCAAGGCUGAAACUUGAAGGAAUUGACGGAAGGGCACACCAGGGGUGGAGCCUGUGGCUUAAUUUGAAUCAACACGGGGAAACUUACCAGGACCAGAUGUUUUUUAUGACUGACAGGCUUCGGGUCUUUCAGGAUAUUGUUUUUGGUGGUGCAUGGCCGUUGGUGGUGCGUGGGUUGACCUGUCUAGCGUUGAUUCAGCUAACGAGCGAGAUUAUCGCCAAUUAUUUACUUUGCCGAAGUCCUUCGGUUAAAGUUCUAAUUGGGACUCCCUGCGAUUUUAGCAGGUGGAAGAGGGUAGCAAUAACAGGUCCGUGAUGCCCUUUAGAUGCUCUGGGCUGCACGCGUGCUACAAUGUUAGGAUCAAUAGGACUGCGAGCCUGAGAGGGUGCGCUACUCUUAUAAUCCCUAACGUAGUUGGGAUUGACGUUUGUAAUCAGCGU